rnacentral:rRNA from 1 species
AGAGUUUGAUGGUGGCUCAGUGACUAAGCGAAAGUGAUAAGUGUCCCACCUGGGGAGUACGAUCGCAAGAUUGAAACUCAAAGGAAUUGACGGGGGCCCGCACAAGCGGUGGAGCAUGUGGUUUAAUUCGAUGAUACGCGAGGAACCUUACCAGGGCUUAAAUGUAGAGUGACAGGGCUAGAGAUAGCUUUUUCUUCGGACACUUUACAAGGUGCUGCAUGGUUGUCGUCAGCUCGUGCCGUGAGGUGUCAGGUUAAGUCCUAUAACGAGCGCAACCCUUAUCGUUAGUUGCUAGCAGGUAAAGCUGAGGACUCUAGCGAGACUGCCGGUGCAAACCGUGAGGAAGGUGGGGAUGACGUCAAAUCAUCACGGCCCUUACGUCCUGGGCUACACACGUGCUACAAUGGUAUGGACAAUGAGCAGCCACAACGCGAGUUGGAGCGAAUCUACAAACCAUAUCACAGUUCGGAUCGGAGUCUGCAACUCGACUCCGUGAGGCUGGAAUCGCUAGUAAUCGGAUAUCAGCCAUGAUCCGGUGAAUACGUUCCCGGGCCUUGUACACACCGCCCGUCAAGCCAUGGAAGCUGGGGGUGCCUGAAGUCGGUUACCGCAAGGAGCUGCCUAGGGUAAAACUGGUAACUAGGGCUAAGUCGUAACAAGGUACCCGA